UACGUAGGGCGCGAGCGUUGUCCGGAAUUAUUGGGCGUAAAGAGCUCGUAGGUGGCUUGUCGCGUCUGCCGUGAAAGCCCGUGGCUUAACUACGGGUCUGCGGUGGAUACGGGCAGGCUAGAGGCUGGUAGGGGCAAGCGGAAUUCCUGGUGUAGCGGUGAAAUGCGCAGAUAUCAGGAAGAACACCCGUGGCGAAGGCGGCUCUCUGGGACGGUACUGACGCUGAGACGCGAAAGCGUGGGGAGCGAACAGG
rnacentral:rRNA from 1 species